GACGAACGCUGGCGGCGUGCCUAACACAUGCAAGUCGAGCGAGAAUCUUACGACGGAUUCCUUCGGGAUGAAGAUGUAAGAGGAAAGCGGCGGACGGGUGAGUAACGCGUGAGUAACCUGCCUAUCAGAGGGGGACAACAGUUGGAAACGACUGCUAAUACCGCAUAACAUAUUUUUAUGGCAUCAUAGAAAUAUCAAAGAUUUAUCGCUGAUAGAUGGACUCGCGUCCGAUUAGAUAGUUGGUAGGGUAACGGCCUACCAAGUCGACGAUCGGUAGCCGAACUGAGAGGUUGAUCGGCCACAUUGGGACUGAGACACGGCCCAGACUCCUACGGGAGGCAGCAGUGGAGGAUAUUGCGCAAUGGGGGCAACCCUGACGCAGCAACGCCGCGUGAAGGAUGAAGGUUUUCGGAUCGUAAACUUCUUUAAGUGUGGAAGAAAUUGACGGUACACACAGAAUAAGCCACGGCUAACUACGUGCCAGCCGCCGCUGUAACAC
rnacentral:rRNA from 1 species